rnacentral:rRNA from 1 species
ACUGCUCAGUAACACGUGGACAACCUGCCCUUAGGUUGGGUAUAAACCCGGGAAACUGGGUAUAAUACCCGAUAGGUCUCGAUUGCUGGAAUGCAUCGAGAUUUAAAGCUCCGGCGCCUAAGGAUGGGUCUGCGGCCUAUCAGGUAGUAGUGGGUGUAGCGUACCUACUAGCCUACGACGGGUACGGGUUGUGAGAGCAAGAGCCCGGAGAUGGAUUCUGAGACACGAAUCCAGGCCCUACGGGGUGCAGCAGGCGCGAAAACUUUACAAUGCUGGCAACAGCGAUAAGGGAACCUCGAGUGCCAGGUUACAAAUCUGGCUGUCGAGAUGCCUAAAAAGCAUUUCAUAGCAAGGGCCGGGCAAGACCGGUGCCAGCCGCCGCGGUAACACCGGCGGCUCGAGUGGUAACCGUUAUUACUGGGUCUAAAGGGUCUGUAGCCGGCCGGAUAAGUCUCUUGAGAAAUCUGGCAGCUUAACUGUCAGGCUUUCAGGAGAUACUGUCUGGCUCGAGGCCGGGAGAGGUGAGAGGUACUUCAGGGGUAGGGGUGAAAUCUUGUAAUCCUUGAAGGACCACCAGUGGCGAAGGCGUCUCACCAGAACGGACCUGACGGCAAGGGACGAAAGCUAGGGGCACGAACCGGAUUAGAUACCCGGGUAGUCCUAGCCGUAAACGAUACUCGCUAGGUGUCGGCCACGGUGCGACCGUUGUCGGUGCCGUAGGGAAGCCGUGAAGCGAGCCACCUGGGAAGUACGGCCGCAAGGCUGAAACUUAAAGGAAUUGGCGGGGGAGCACCACAACGGGUGGAGCUUGCGGUUUAAUUGGAUUCAACGCCGGAAAUCUUACCGGGACCGACAGCAAUAUGAAGGCCAGGCUGAAGACUUUGCCGGAUUAGCUGAGAGGUGGUGCAUGGCCGUCGUCAGUUCGUACUGUGAAGCAUCCUGUUAAGUCAGGCAACGAGCGAGACCCGCGCC